UAGGGUUCAGAGCGUUUGCUCUGAUACCAUGAAAAUAUACGAUGUUGAUUGCCUCCAAACAAAAGGGAUACACGUAUAAAUACAGCAAAGACCCUAACAAACCAAGAGCUAAUCUAGGGAGCUAAACUAGGAAACUAUCAAUUAGAGAUAUACACAUUUAUAUACAAUAUAUGACAAUAUAUAAAAUAUAUUUGGCUAAUAUUAACGUUGAUGGGAAGGUCAUCAAGGCUCAGAUUUGGGACACUGCUGGUGAAGAAAGAUCGGGGCGUCUGAAAUUGACUUGGUCAAUGAGUCAUGAUCUGUGACAUAAUUGCAGAUUAGGGCGUCUGAAAGAUAGUAAGGCAGUCAUUUCUCAUUUUAAUGACUAUUCAGAGCAAUGUUUUGCUGAGGUAUCCAGUGAUCUCUUUACAAAUAAAUGCUUCUUAAGGUGAGUGCUUUAUCGUUUUCUUUAGGUUAAUGGGUCAAAUUGGUAUAAAUAAAGCUAAAAAGAAAACGGGUCGAAUGAGUUGAAAGUGGUCCUAAAUGUAUUUGUCAUCCACACUCCUUAAUCGCGUUGGAUCAUUAUGCAAUUUCAACUCAUUAUUGUUGCCUCAAGGUGCUUAACAGUGAGCACUUUCUCAGGUGGGAAGAUGGGCGGGUAGGCUGGUCAUGGGACAAAAUGAGCCUGACAGAUCGGGUUGGUUCAAACAUCAUCUCGGCUACUCGGUGUCAUGCUUCAGUGGUCUUGAUAAAACAAAUGAAUGGUCCAGUGUUCUUUCUCUUUUUGAGCAGCAACGACUCGCGUUUGCACGCUUGUUUCUUUCAGUUCCCUUUAAUAUGAAACUUGUCAUGUAUUUGCGAUUGAUUGAAUUCUUAGAGGUUCAAUUGAAUAAUCAGAAUCAGUCUCCUUGGAUUAAAAGCCAAGGAUCUUGACGCUUGUAUUUCAACUAAAAUAACAUUUUUGGUAUUCUAGAGGCGACACUUUCACCCGUUCUCCUAGAAAUGGGUAAAGGGCAUUUCUCAGGUGCCACCUGACCUGCCCUGUACUGAACCGCAACCAGAAAUCUAAGAAUGGUGAAACCAAGAACCAGACCAAUCUAAACUUCAAAACUGGUUUGGUAUUUUGGAUCCAACUUUUCGGAAACACUUCCUAGGGUUCUCAGACAAUUGAAACUGGUUUAGUAUUUACCCAUGAGCAACUCAAUCCAUCUGCAAGUGAUUCCAUUCUGCCCCAUUCUAAAUCUUCAAUUUAUUUGAAAAGAUUACGGUACGGGUUCGGGUUCUGCUAGCAAGAAAUCGUGUCAUGAUAUUUGCAAUAGAAUCUCAGGUGGCGCCCGACAAAGUUCACGAAACCAGAUUUGUGAUGAUGUACCAUCAUCAAAAAAUGUGAUCCAGCAGAAGCCUGAUUAGCUCGUCAUCUACCAAUUAGCUAAGGAUUUACAAGUUUAGGAACUAUGAUUGAGAGUUGAUCAGUUUGUCAAGAUAUAUCCUGGUGUCAUUAUAGGACCGUUUUGAUAUAGAGAUGAAGACAUAACAGCUGGGACACGUACACAGGAGACCCAUCAAGAUCUUUUGGGUUGGUUUGGUAAGUGUAUUCACUUCAGAAAGGCCAUUAGGCCUUGUAAAACCCAGGUUGUGAAACAUAUUUACUUCUGUGUACAAGUAUGUAGUUCAAUAAGAUGUUAAAAUUUAUGUACUAAUCUUGAGCUUGCUAUAUGAUAAUCUGAGUCUUAUAUCAAGUUGGAUCAAGUCGUUAAUUGAUAUAGCUAACAAUAGAUGUUGCAACUUUUUCCGAUGCACUUAUAACAUGUGGAUAUAGGUUAGUUUAAUCUCUAACAGGAUUAAAUGGGUAAAGAGAAAAUAGCUAUGAAGGCUGCCAUCGCUGGCAGCACAGUAAAACCAGCAGAGCCUGAUUUGGUCGUCGUGUAUCUACCAGUGUGGCCCACAUAUCAACUACUCAUAGAGUCCAACCACAACCCAAAACUUUUUGUCCAGGAAACUUAGUUGUGAAAAUUCAGGUCAUCAUGUGAAAUAGUUGCCGAGCAGAUUAUUUUAGAAGUAAUAAUAUUCCCGGCCAAAGCAUUUGACCCGUUUUAUGUUACCUUAUGAUGAUAUCUAUCAAGUCUUUACUAUCAUGUUGUGGCAUUUAGCCUUGGUUUUAAAAUGUGAUUAUAAAUCAGUGAUGUGGCUUAGAAUAGAAGUUAAAGAGAACGGAUAAGUUGUAAAUGGUUACUCGAUGAUUUUUUUUUUUUUUUAGGCACGAAUGAGUUGUGUAGGUUCAUGUGUGAACUAUGAAGACCAGAAUCAAGUCGUGCGCGUGAAGAAUGAUGACACUGGGAACCGCUUUUUGGAUGGCUACAACCUAGGAACAUUAUGCAGCCAAAAUCAAAGCCUGACAUAGGCCGUAACGCCUAUCACCACCAUGUACCAGAAAUAUACAAUAGGGAAACAUCUUUUCUACAACUUAUCUUCGUAACGCAGCUGGUGUUAGUAAGAUAAGUUGUUUACGAAUUGAUACAACAAUAUUUUGUAUACACCAGGUAGAUAGGGUAGGCGAUUUUAAUGAUAUUGAAUAUGAUUGUACGCUAGGGUUUGAGAGAAAGAUGAUAAUGUUCUUGGAUUAAGAAU